AUUGAACGCUGGCGGCAUGCUUUACACAUGCAAGUCGAACGGCAGCACGAAAGAGGCUUGCUCUUUUGGUGGCGAGUGGCGAACGGGUGAGUAAUGCAUCGGAACGUACCGAGUAAUGGGGGAUAACUAUCCGAAAGGAUAGCUAAUACCGCAUACGCUUUGAGAAGGAAAGUGGGGGCUCUUCGGACCUCACGUUAUUCGAGCGGCCGAUGUCUGAUUAGCUAGUUGGUGGGGUAAAGGCCUACCAAGGCGACGAUCAGUAGCGGGUCUGAGAGGAUGAUCCGCCACACUGGGACUGAGACACGGCCCAGACUCCUACGGGAGGCAGCAGUGGGGAAUUUUGGACAAUGGGCGCAAGCCUGAUCCAGCCAUGCCGCGUGUCUGAAGAAGGCCUUCGGGUUGUAAAGGAUCUUUUCUUAGGGAAGAAAAGGAUAGUGUUAAUU
rnacentral:rRNA from 1 species